rnacentral:rRNA from 1 species
GAUGAACGCUAGCGGCAGGCCUAACACAUGCAAGUCGAGGGGCAUCAUGGCGUAGCAAUACGCUGAUGGCGACCGGCGCACGGGUGCGUAACGCGUAUGGAACCUACCCACCGCAGGGGGAUAACCCGCCGAAAGGCGGACUAAUACCCCAUGGUUCCCCGACCCUGCCUGGGGUUGGGGGUAAAGCCUACGGGCGGCGGUGGAUGGCCCUGCGUGCCAUUAGCUGGCUGGUGGGGUAACGGCCCACCAGGGCGACGAUGGCUAGGGGGUCUGAAAGGACGAUCCCCCACACGGGUACUGAGACACGGACCCGACUCCUACGGGAGGCAGCAGUAAGGAAUAUUGGUCAAUGGACGGAAGUCUGAACCAGCCAUCCCGCGUGCAGGAUGAAGGUCCUAUGGGUUGUAAACUGCUUUUAUAUGGGAGCAAUAAGGUCUACGUGUAGACUGAUGAGAGUACCAUAUGAAUAAGCAUCGGCUAACUCCGUG